rnacentral:rRNA from 1 species
UACGUAGGGGGCUAGCGUUGUCCGGAUUUACUGGGCGUAAAGAGCGCGCAGGCGGUCGAGUAAGUCGAAUGUGAAAGCCCCCGGCUUAACUGGGGAGGGUCAUUCGAUACUGUUCGACUUGAAGGCAGGAGAGGGCAGCAGAAUUCCCGGUGUAGUGGUGAAAUGCGUAGAUAUCGGGAGGAAUACCGAUGGCGAAGGCAGGUCUCUGGGCUAUAACUGACGCUCAUGCACGAAAGCGUGGGGAGCAAACAGG